AUGAACGCUGGCGGCGUGCUUAACACAUGCAAGUCGAACGAUGAACCUCACUUGUGGGGGGAUUAGUGGCGAACGGGUGAGUAACACGUGAGUAACCUGCCCUUAACUCUGGGAUAAGCCUGGGAAACUGGGUCUAAUACCGGAUAUGACUCCUCAUCGCAUGGUGGGGGGUGGAAAGCUUUUUGUGGUUUUGGAUGGACUCGCGGCCUAUCAGCUUGUUGGUGAGGUAAUGGCUUACCAAGGCGACGACGGGUAGCCGGCCUGAGAGGGUGACCGGCCACACUGGGACUGAGACACGGCCCAGACUCCUACGGGAGGCAGCAGUGGGGAAUAUUGCACAAUGGGCGCAAGCCUGAUGCAGCGACGCCGCGUGAGGGAUGACGGCCUUCGGGUUGUAAACCUCUUUCAGUAGGGAAGAAGCGAAAGUGACGGUACCUGCAGAAGAAGCGCCGGCUAACUACGU
rnacentral:rRNA from 1 species